GGAGGGUGCAAGCGUUAUCCGGAUUCACUGGGUUUAAAGGGUGCGUAGGCGGGUAUGUAAGUCAGUGGUGAAAUCUCGGAGCUUAACUCCGAAACUGCCAUUGAUACUAUAUAUCUUGAAUAUUGUGGAGGUUUGCGGAAUAUGUCAUGUAGCGGUGAAAUACUUAGAUAUGACAUAGAACACCUAUUGCGAAGGCAGCAGGCUACACAUAUAUUGACGCUGAGGCACGAAAGCGUGGGGAUCAAACAGGAUUAGAUACCCUGGUAGUCCACGCCCUAAACGAUGGAUACUCGACAUACGCGAUACACUGUGUGUGUCUGAGCGAAAGCAUUAAGUAUCCCACCUGGGAAGUACGACCGCAAGGUUG
rnacentral:rRNA from 1 species